rnacentral:rRNA from 1 species
GAUGAACGCUGGCGGCGUGCCUAAUACAUGCAAGUCGCGCGAACGGACGAGAAGCUUGCUUCUCUGAUGUUAGCGGCGGACGGGUGAGUAACACGUGGAUAACCUACCUAUAAGACUGGGAUAACUUCGGGAAACCGUAGCUAAUACCGGAUAAUAUUUUGAACCGCAUGGUUCAAAAGUGAAAGACGGUCUUGCUGUCACUUAUAGAUGGAUCCGCGCUGCAUUAGCUAGUUGGUAAGGUAACGGCUUACCAAGGCAACGAUGCAUAGCCGACCUGAGAGGGUGAUCGGCCACACUGGAACUGAGACACGGUCCAGACUCCUACGGGAGGCAGCAGUAGGGAAUCUUCCGCAAUGGGCGAAAGCCUGACGGAGCAACGCCGCGUGAGUGAUGAAGGUCUUCGGAUCGUAAAACUCUGUUAUUAGGGAAGAACAUAUGUGUAAGUAACUGUGCACAUCUUGACGGUACCUAAUCAGAAAGCCACGGCUAACUACGUG